UCAAGUGGCUCCAGUCGGAGUCAUGUAGAUUAAAGGUCUUUGUAGGCACAAGGGUCGCAGAGACCCAAGAGUUAACAGAUCUACAGGCCUGGAGGUACAUGGAUUCUGCCUGCAAUCCUGCAGAUGACCUCACUAGAGGUAAGAGCCUGUCAGAUUUGGCCCAGCCUAAUCGAUGGAGCCAAGGUCCUGCAUUUUUGCAGCGACCACCCAGUGAAUGGACAAUCAAACCAACUCCUUCCUUCAGAUGAUACUGCUGAGUUUAAGCAGUGCCUGACACGGCCCCGUUUAGUACUUGGAGUGAGAUUUACCACCUGCCAGGCUAAGACUCGCCAGACCACCCUUCUACUCAACUGGAAUGGAUUGCUUUGGUCCAUUCCAGAUUAAAAUUGGCAGACCUAAUGAAAAACGAUGGGGAAUUAUUUUCAAGUGCCUUACCACGCGUUGCGUGCACUUAGAUGUCCUGGCAAACAUCAAUGUGGACUCGUUCCUUAUGGCACUGAGAAGAUUUAUUGCCCGUCGAGGAACCCCAGCUGAGUUGUACUCUGAUCAGGGGACAAACUUCAAGGCUGGGGAGAAAGAGUUGAGACAAGCUUUUGCCAACCUGAGCCAAGACCUGAAAGACCAACUGGCUAAACACCAGGUAUCUUUCAAUGUUCUGCCCUUAAUUUUAUUGUAGUAUGGACACAGUUUUGAGCUAAUUUUAUUUUGAAAUGUGUUUUACUUUGAAAGUCAGUUUUCAGGAAGUGACAGGAAGUCAGCCAUUUUGUUUUAGUUCUUAAUGAGCCACAUGUGGUGAGGUUCGUCCACCGACAUCUGCUUUUUGUUUGUGCCAACGACACAACCAUCUUUUACUCCCUGCUAAAUUGUGUAGCACACACACAAGGAGAGCAGGAUAUUAAACUUUAACCCACCAGCCGCCCCACACUUUGGCGGGGCGUGGGAAAGGGAAAUCUGUUCGGUCAGGUCUGCGCUUCACAGAGUAGUUGGGACACAAACUGUCACAGAGGAGGUACUCAGAACUGUGCUAAUCGAAAUAGAGGGCAUUCUUAAUGCCAAACCAUUAGGGUAUGUAUCCUCUAACCUGGCUGACCCUGAUCCAGUCACCCCUAACCUCCUGUUGAUGGGGCGGCGAGAUAGUGCACUUCCCCAAGUGACUUACCACAGUUCAGAGCAGCUAGGCAAGCGUCAUUGGAGAUACAGCCAGGUCCUGGCUGACCAUUUCUGGUCACGGUUUGUGAGGGACUACCUACCGAGCCUACAGACCCGUCAAAAGUGGCAAUGUACUACAGCGCCACUUUCGGUGGGCCAAGUGGCAAUGAUACUCGAUCUUCAACUACCGCAAGCUUUCUGGCCGAUUGGUCAGGUUGUUAGGGUGUUCCCAGAUCCACACGAAGCACACACACCUGGCGAUCUGACUUGCACACCCCAAACCAUGCGGCCCAAUUAAUCCAGUGUGGACUUAUUUGUGUUCACGUGCGUCCAUGUUCAAUUAAGUGCUGAAUAAUUGUCUCCUUCAUGGACCCGUGGUAAGGAGUGACAUCGUAAUAUUGUCCUGAUAUUUAAUUUCAUGUUCAGAUGUCAACCCAUUGUCUUACCAUUUCUGAUUGCCUACCUAUGUGGCUUUGUGGAAAUAAAUGUUAUGUUAUUAGUUUCAACAUGUUUUGUUUCCCCUUUGCUAGUUAACUCAGCUGUUAGAGUAAUUAGUAUAUGUAUAUUAACGGUAUUUGGACGGUAAUAUAGACGCGUCAUUUAAUGCCCCUGUUUACCACUAGGUGGUGCACUUUGAUUAUGUUUUCUGAUGUGAAUGUAGUCUAUAUAAGUGGUCAUACCCGACUGCUUAUGGAUGACUAGUGUUCUUAAAUAUUAUUGGUGUUUGUUUACUAUGGUGGCACUUGUUAUAACCUUUUAGUAGCAAUUAUUAAAGUACUUACUUUGUUCUGUUAUGAAUAUUUCAACCUGAGAAAAAACCCAUGUACAGAAUGGGGAAUAUUCUGUUAUGCAUAUGACUUAAACUUUAUUAUUUAUAUUUGUUGUUAUUUCACACAAGUUCACCAACCUAUGUUACAGUCAGUUUAAAUGUCCUGUGCUCUGCUGUGCCUCCAAUCAAUCAAUAAAGUGCAGAGAAAGAA